rnacentral:tRNA from 1 species
UGGGGCGUGGCCAAGUUGGCUAAGGCACGGGGUUUUGAUCCCCGGAUUCCCAGGUUCGAG